UUCAACACAAUCAAAACAUCCUGAUCCAGACCUCCGCCGAAGUCCCCUUUAAAGUUUCAGAGGAGUGGAGGAAGCACGUGAAGGAUGUGUCUGAGUCAGGAAGCCUCGUGUUACAAGACUUAACAUCACUUCAGGAGGGAAUAUACACAUGUGAACUUAGUACUGCUGAAGAGACUCAUGAAAGGAGCACAGCGUUGAGGAUAGAAGAAAGUCAAAGCACUCCUGAUGUUGCAGGAAUUACAGUUGGGGUUAUAUUCCUUGUAUUGGUUGUAUUAGCCAUUUGCAUCUUCGUCAUAUAUAAGUGGUUUAAAAAG